GGCUGCGAUCAUACUAGCACUAAUGCACCGGAUCCCAUCAGAACUCCGCAGUUAAGCGUGCUUGGGCGAGAGUAGUACUAGGAUGGGUGACCCCCUGGGAAGUCCUCGUGUUGCAACCC
rnacentral:rRNA from 1 species